AGAACGAACGCUGGCGGCAUGCCUAAUACAUGCAAGUCGAACGAACACUUCGGUGUUAGUGGCGCACGGGUGCGUAACGCGUGGGAAUCUGCCCUUGGGUUCGGAAUAACAGUUGGAAACGACUGCUAAUACCGGAUGAUGACGAAAGUCCAAAGAUUUAUCGCCCAGGGAUGAGCCCGCGUAGGAUUAGCUAGUUGGUGAGGUAAAGGCUCACCAAGGCGACGAUCCUUAGCUGGUCUGAGAGGAUGAUCAGCCACACUGGGACU
rnacentral:rRNA from 1 species